UGAGGAAUAUUGGUCAAUGGGCGUAAGCCUGAACCAGCCAUCCCGCGUGCAGGAAGACGGCGCUAUGCGUUGUAAACUGCUUUUCCGGGGGAAGAAAACCCGCUACGCGUAGCGGCUUGCCGGUACCCUGGGAAUAAGCAUCGGCUAACUCCGUGCCAGCAGCCGCGGUAAUACGGAGGAUGCGAGCGUUAUCCGGAUUUAUUGGGUUUAAAGGGUGCGUAGGCGGAUUAAUAAGUCAGUGGUGAAAACCUGCAGCUUAACUGUAGAAUUGCCAUUGAUACUGUUAGUCUUGAGUACGGUCAAGGUAGGCGGAAUGUGUAAUGUAGCGGUGAAAUGCUUAGAUAUUACACAGAACACCGAUUGCGAAGGCAGCUUACUGGGCCAUUACUGACGCUGAUGCACGAAAGCGUGGGGAGCGAACAGG
rnacentral:rRNA from 1 species